CGGGAGGCAGCAGUUAGGAAUCUUCCACAAUGGGCGCAAGCCUGAUGGAGCGACACUGCAUGAAGGAUGAAGGUUUUAGGAUCGUAAACUUCUGAACUAGGGACGAUAAUGACGGUACCUAGGUAAUAGCACCGGCUAACUCCGUGCCAGCAGCCGCGGUAAUACGGAGGGUGCAAGCGUUAUCCGGAAUCACUGGGCGUAAAGGGCACGUAGGCGGUCUAUUAAGUCCGAUGUUAAAGCGUGGGGCUCAACCCCAUCACGGCGUUGGAUACUGAUAGGCUUGACGACUGGAGAGGUGAGUAGAAUUACCAGUGUAGCGGUGGAAUGCGUAGAUACUGGUAGGAAUACCCAUUGCGAAGGCAGCUCACUGGACAGUACGUGACGCUGAGGUGCGAAAGUGUGUGGAGCAAACCGGAUUAGAUACCCGGGUAGUCCACACCCUAAAC
rnacentral:rRNA from 1 species